UGGAACAAUGGAUAGAGAAGGGAAAGUUAGAAAGGAAGUAGUAGGGAUGGCGUCACCAUUACUCCUUUUGUCCCCUGACAACCAUCAACAUACCUUGUGAAAUAUCAUCUUGAACAUCAAUGCUAUUGGAUGUUCCAAAUAAACAAAGAGAUGGUUCAUGAUGGUUCAUGGAAGUGUACUGCGUGUGCUAACACUAGUCCAAGCCAGAGAUUGCACCAAUACAAUCAGGAUGAGAACAUUCAGGAGUGGGAAAAGGGAGAAAACAACCCAAAGAUGACUGGCCAGGUGUGGCAGCGGAUGUGCUAGAUCGAUGUCUGGCCUCAGUAAUAGACUGGAUGUGAGCCAACAAACUGAAACUUAAUCCAGAUAAGACUGAGGUACUCUGCCUCAGGACUCUAGACACAAAUACCCACCAGGAUCCCUAGCUUCACUUUUCCAGGAGGAAAUGCAAGGACUAACCCCACACACAGAACAGGUGAAUGAGAUUGCAUAGUACCUGCUAUGGAGUGCCAUUUUCCAUCACACAGAGACUGCCGAGGCGUGACUGAUGUUGAGAACUUUCCAGCGCCAUUAUUUCCAGAUGCAGUGAGCUGUGAAAACAGACAUAUUUUAUAUUACGAGUAAGAAAAAGAAUAAAAGUAUAGACACAAGAAUACGUGACUAUGACAGAUUUGCCGAGUUUGAUUAAUUUUA